GAUGGAUCAAACUACUGUAGUAACAAAAUCCGGCGGAAACAGUGGAGUAUAAUAAUGCGGCUAAUCUGACAUCAGAUCAGAGGGACUGGAUUACCGCUUGUGUUAUUAUUGGUAAAUAAACAAAGCAGCAGGCAGUGGCCGGCCCACCCCCAUGCAUGCAUGUCCUCUCCAACUGUCCGUCCCCACGGGCAUCCUCGGCCUCCCAGAAAGAGGGCCACCCACCACGACCACACCAAUAUAUAUUCACCGCAGAGGAGCAAAGAAUCAAAGAGUUGUCUCCCACACAAAGCAACAUCCACAUUCCUCCUCCCAACACACGAGAGUUCUUCCUCUUCCAAGGAACCCAGGCCAACCAAACACACACAGAGUAAGAGAUGAACAUCCACUAGAGAAGCCGGUACGGGCCCAGAUGGACAGGGGCGUGCUCCUGAUGAUUUUGCUGGCGGCGGCGGCGACGCUCCUGUGCCUCCCGCUGGUGCUGCCCCCGCUGCCGCCGCCGCCGGCCUUCCUGCUCUUCGUCCCUGUGGUGAUGAUGCUCCUGCUCUUCUCCCUGGCUCUCCUCCCCUCCACAAACUGCGAGUGCCCGUCCCAGUAGGAGACAACAGAGCACACAAAGAGAGUCAGGUCAGGUGGCUCUCAGGAGAACUUCUGCUCUGCCUUCCAAGCCCAGGCCGGAUGAGGAGCCAGCCAUGGUUAUGUAGUAGAAUACCAAGAAAUGCAUGCUAAUUAGCUGGUCAUUCCUGGCUUUCCCCGCAAUCUUCUGGCUGCGGAACGCUGUACAUUAGUAAGCCGGCGAUGAGGACGGCUGCGCCUGCGACGAAGCCGGGAGGGAGGGUCGACGCCACGCCGAUGUACGGCAGCGGUAGGGUGAAGGCGUAGAUCGACAGCGGGACUGCAUCAAAGAAAGGCCAUCAUUAGUGCUGUUGUACAGGCAUGCUGCAUAUCUACUUGUACAAGGGAACAAUGAGUAGUAAUCAGAAUGCUAGUUGAAUGAUUA